rnacentral:rRNA from 1 species
GAUGAACGCUGGCGGCGUGCUUAACACAUGCAAGUCGAACGAUGAAGCCCAGCUUGCUGGGUGGAUUAGUGGCGAACGGGUGAGUAACACGUGAGUAACCUGCCCUUGACUCUGGGAUAAGCCCGGGAAACUGGGUCUAAUACCGGAUAGGAGCGCCUGUCGCAUGACGGGUGUUGGAAAGAUUUUUCGGUCAUGGAUGGACUCGCGGCCUAUCAGCUUGUUGGUGAGGUAAUGGCUCACCAAGGCGACGACGGGUAGCCGGCCUGAGAGGGUGACCGGCCACACUGGGACUGAGACACGGCCCAGACUCCUACGGGAGGCAGCAGUGGGGAAUAUUGCACAAUGGGCGGAAGCCCUGAUGCAGCGACGCCGCGUGAGGGAUGACGGCCUUCGGGUUGUAAACCUCCUUUCAAGUAAGGGAAGAA